UCCAGGAUAUAUCUUCAAAUAUAGGACUGGGCCCAUUUUCAGUUCUUUCUCUUGCAUUUUAUUUUAGCAUUGCUUUAUCCAUUUGUCUAUCAAGUUCCUUUCUUUCUUUCUUUCCUUCCUUCCUUCCUCCCUCUCCCCUCCCCCCUUCUCCAUCUUUCUGUGUCUGUCUACACUAAGGUUGUUACACCAUAUUGGUCUGACUCACAUUACGUGAGCUACAGGUUCAAGUUUCGGAAGUAUUCACCCACCAUCCCUAACAAGAGAUUUGGUUCUGUUUGCAUUUUAAUGCAAACAUAUCCAACUUGCACUUCCCGAAACCACGUUCAAACCGGAAGGCACCUCUCCUUUGAAAUUCACACCUCUGAAUUUUGCAACAUGGUUCUGCAACAAAAAAAAAAGCGUACCAAAUAAAAAGUGUGCAAAUACAUUAUGAGAGUAUGUGCACAGAAAUGCAUGGAAAUGAAAAUAACAUGCAAAAAAAGAGAAUUUUGUUGGGGGAAAACUGAUUGCAAAAAAGCAUAUACACGGGCAAAUCGCAACAAAUAUAUUGGGGAAAAUGCACAUUAAAAUGCAGGCAAUUUUUUUUUGUGAGGACUCUUGGGAACUGAAGUUAAAAAUGGAAAAACAAAAAGCUGAAUGUGACCCUGACCAGGGGUACUAUCCAGGGCUUUUUUUCCCAGCUGGAACUCACUGAAACUCAGUUCUGGCACCUCUCAGGUGGGCACCAUUGCCAUUAUAAGAGAAGAACGAAGGCGUUCAUGGUGAGUUCCAGCACCUCUUUUUUUUUCUAGAAAAGAGCACUGGUACUAUCACAGGUCCCCAUUUCUUGAUUUAGGCUACUAUGUCCAGUCCAGUUAAGGGCUAGGACCACUGCUGCCCAUUUUAAUCCCAGAGAUUAUUUUGCAGUACCACACAUUUCCUCAUUUUUUCCAAUGCAGAGUGAAGAGGCGUGUAUUUGUGUGUGUGCAUGUACAUCUGCUGAAGUUCUGAAGGUCUCUCAUGACUGGAGCACCCAAGCCGAAAUACCUCUGCUCUUGUUUGUGUUAAAACGCACGUGUCAGUAUGCUCUAGGGUGGUGAAUAUAAUAGUAAUAAUAAUAAUAGUAAAUUUUUAUUUAUACCCUGCCCUUUCCCGGUUCAGGAAACCAGGCUCAGGGCAGCUAACAACAAAUUUAAAACCCUUAAUUGAUGCAACAAAAAACAGCAUAAAAUACAGUAUAAAAUGUGAAUAACAAUAAAUUCAGAAUUCAAAAAUCAACUUAGGGGGGAAAUCCAUCCAAUAAACAUUAGAUGAUCACCAGGGCUAGCUGGCUAAAUUAGUCCUAUUUGGGCCAGCGAGGAGACCAGGGGAGAAUUAGCUGUGGGAUCCCAGAGUGGGUAAUCUUCAUAAAAAGGUGAGAGGGAGGGAAGGAAGGGGAAUAAAAGAUCAGGCUAAGUUCAAGUUGAAAGCCAGGUGGAAUAGCUCUGUCUUACAGGCCCAGCGGAAGGAAGUUAAAUCCUGCAGGGCUCUGGUCUCAUGGGAUAGAGCAUUCCACCAGGUCAGAAAAGGCCCUGGCCCUGGUGGAGGAUAAUCUGACUUCCUUAGGGCCCGGGACCUCUAAACUAUGAUUAUUCAUGGACAUUAAGGUCCUCUGUGGGGCAUACCAGGAGACGCAGUCCCAUAAAUACGAGGGCCCUAAGCCGCAAAGGGUACAGGCAAGGAAGCAACUUUUAAGUUAUAUACGCUUGAAGGAAUCAUGCUGACAGCACAAGUCAGUAUAUAGCCUGAGGUUGUCAUAUUUAGUCAUGGAAUUUUGGGCAACUGCCAGCACUAGAUUCUUUGGAGAAGAAACUUGUAUGGAAUCCGGGGAUUUCUGUUUAUUUUGCUUUCUUUGGGGUAUGUCCCACAUAGGCUUGUGCUGCUGUUUUUAAAAGGACAGAUAGAAAGUCAGGUCACAUCCACACCGUACAUUUAAAGCAUGUGGCUUCCCCUCCCCCCAAAGAACCCUGGGAACAGAAGGCUGUUAAGAGUGCUGGGAACUGUAGCUCUAAGAAGGAACUAGUUUCCAGAAUUCUUGGGGGGAAGUCAUGUGCUUUAAGUGCGCUUUAAAUGUAUUGUGCAGAUGUGGUGUCAGGCAAAGUAAGAUAAGUGUGCAGUGUCAGGUGGGUGUUUUGCUACAUUCUAUUACCACCCACCUUGGAAAAUAAAUGGAAGAGCAGUGUGGUGUAGUGGUUAAGAGCGGUAGAUUCGUAAUCUGGGUAACCGGCUUCGUGUCUCCGCUCCUCCACAUGCAGCUGCUGGGUCACCUUGGACCAGUCACAUUUCUCUGAAGUCUCUCAGCCCCACUCACCUCACAGAGUGUUUGUUGUGGGGGAGGAAGGGAAAGGAGAAUGUUAGCCGCUUUGAGACUCUUUCAGGUAGUGAUAAAGCAGGAUAUCAAAUCCAAACUCUUCUUCUUCUUCUUUCUGCCACCUCCCGAUUUCGUUUUUCGAUGCAUAAUGCUCCCUUAGAAAGGAGGGGAACAAGGACUUCUAAUCCACUGCGACACUGAGACAAUGGUUGGAACGAGCACUGCGGGUUUUAGAGGCAAGAUAAAGACUUCCUCAGAGCCCUUUCUUAAGAAUAUAAACCUCUAAGUCUAAAAAGCAGCAAUUAAUGAAUCAGUUGAAGGACAUGCCGAAAGAUGCCUGGGUGGGGCGGGAGGAGGAGGAAGCAGCUGCCUCUGGUGGUGAGCAAAGAGAGACAAUGUAAUUCUACAGUGAUAAAAAGGAAGAUCCAUAACUUUAAAGCAGAAAAUUAAGAGUGCAAUUGCCACAAACCUAUUCGGGAAAGACGAACCAGCUCUUUCCAUUUUAAAAAGUAGCUUUGAGUUGCCUGGGGCAAGAAGAAGCAACGAAUAAAUUAAAUAAAUAAGAAGAAGAACCAGCUAUGGAAAGUGUCAUUCUUUGCUAUGUGUCACCAAAAGCAUAUUAGCAUAGAAUUUGUAUUGCUAAUUGUGAAUGCAUUUUUUAUUUAUUGCUAUUUUUUAUUUAUUGCUGCUGUAUUGCAGCAUUUAUACCCUACCCUUUAGGCAAUGGCUUACAAAAAUCAAUAAGAACGUAACCUUGCAUAAGAUAGGAAGGAACAUUUCAUUUAGAAAUAGUGACUAUAACUUUCAAGAGAAAUGAAAGGCUUCUCGUUUUGCUUGUGUGCCUGCUUAGCCUAGUGUUCGGGGUGAACAUCUGGUGAGUGACUUCGAGGCCCAUCUGCCCUUUCUCCUUACGGUUCUGAAUUUUUAAAUAGGGAUUUGACAGUCCUUCAAACAGAGAACUAACAACCCUUCAGAUAGAGGCCUGGGCUCUGUAAAGUAGGACACACAGCCACUCCAGCCACUCAUAUGCAUGUAGCAAAUAGACAUUCCACAGUCAGGAACUGGCAUUGGCAACAAAUGAUCUCUGAAAUGCAGCUUAAAACAUCUUAAAAUGCCAGAAUAUUACCUGAUGGCUCUGGGCCCUAGCACACCAUGUAGUGACAGUGCCUAAUGAGAAAGAUUCCUGGCCCAACCACAGCUCUGAUCCAGUUAUCCCUGCUAGCUCCACAAAUAAGUUCAGUAGACAGACUAAUCCAGGGUUUCCCAGACUUGGGUCUCUAGCUGCUUCUGAACUGCAACUCCCAUCAUCCCACUAGUCAGGGAUAAUGGGAACUGUAGUCCGAAAACAACUGGAGACCCAAGUUUGGAAAACCCAUCCUGCAGUACACAAAGGUGACUGGGCCUUGGUACAAUCCUGAUGAACUUUUCAGAAUCACACUGGAGCCUUGAGUCCAACCUACACACAAUGCUCAUCCCAACAUUGACUGGUCCCUCUCUGCCCCCACCAACAUAAAGCAGACAGAGGAUCCUAUCAAUGUCAGGAGAAGCACAGAUUGGCGCAGAAACUCAUGACGUCAUCAGAAGAAUCUUGAAUAAACACUCCUCAAUGAAUUGGGUUUGGGGUGUCUUUGUCACCACAUUGAUGAAGGAAUGCUGAAAUUAUGUAGACCAGGGAGUGGGUUGCUCCCAACGCUAUAUGCAACAGGAAUCCUGUAUGCUAACAUUCUUCUUCUUCUUUUGGAUCAUAAACAAUGACUGUAACUCAACAAAGGAGAAUGACAUAUAAAGCACAGCUUUCCAAAUGCAGUCCACAGAACGUAAGAGUUCCUUAUAGGCAUGUUCUGGAAUCCCAUAAUAACCUGCAGUGGGAUCCCUGCAUGUUUGCAAGCUUGCAGCACAUCUCACGCGACCAAUAGGCUUUUCUGAUAUAUGUCCCCAGUAAGGUCCAGGAGAUUGUGCCAUAGAUCUGAAUGGCCAAGCUUUAGUUAGCUGCACCAAAGCCCAACAUCCCAUUGACAAAUUACAUUGCAGGGUUGCAAAGGGGUCUGUUUUGUCUCCAGCCUGUGCAGAACAUUGUAUGUUGCAUCUUCAACCUAUUAAUAAACAUGUUUUAAAUGUUUGCCACCUCCUUUGUAGAAGAUGACAUUUCCAUCUUACGACACCUAUUUCUGGAUGUUAUUCUUUUGUUUGAAGGGGUAGGGGGUCUUUGGCUGUUUUGCUGCAAAAAGAGGUUUGUCAGUUUGAUUUCUUUUUUUCUGUUUCCUUUGGAUGAGAUUGUAACAGAGCAGUCCAACUUAACUGGGAAGACUGUAUUUUUGUAUAAUGUCAUGAUAAUUUUGAAAAAUGAUAGGAGGAGGAGGAAAAAAAAGAACUUUGUUCAGAAACCGAAACAAAGUCCCGUCUCAAAAAUGUUAGAUAUCUUGUAUACAGCGUGUAUAUAUUUACUAUAUAUAAUGGUAUAUACUAUGUGAAAGACACAGUCAAAUACUGGUUCCUGUGUACUGUUCUUGUAACAUUAGAUCUUUUUAAUAAAUUAUUCUCUUUUUAUU